rnacentral:rRNA from 1 species
GACGAACGCUGGCGGCGUGCUUAACACAUGCAAGUCGAACGGAGCGAAUGAAAGCUUGCUUUUAUGAGCUUAGUGGCAAACGGGUGAGUAACACGUAGACAACCUGCCGACAGGAUGGGGACAACAUUCCGAAAGGAAUGCUAAUACCGAAUGAAGCGGAGGAGAGGCAUCUCUCUUCCGUGAAAGAUGGCCUCUAUUUAUAAGCUAUCACCUGUCGAUGGGUCUGCGUCUGAUUAGCUAGUUGGUGAGGUAACGGCUCACCAAGGCGACGAUCAGUAGCCGGUCUGAGAGGAUGAACGGCCACAUUGGGACUGAGACACGGCCCAGACUCCUACGGGAGGCAGCAGUGGGGAAUCUUCCGCAAUGGGCGCAAGCCUGACGGAGCAACGCCGCGUGAGUGAAGAAGGUCUUCGGAUCGUAAAGCUCUGUUGAUGGGGACGAACGUGCGAA